CCUGCCUCGGGCGCGCGCACGUCGUGCGUGCAGGGCUCGCUGGGGAUUCUGGCCUUGCGCGGCCUGGGAAAGGUGAACGGUGCGGGGCCGCCAUGUUCCUCUCCGCUGCGCUCCGGGCCCGGGCGGCUGGCUUCGCCGCCCAGUGGGGAAAAUAUAUAAGGAAUUUGCAUAAGACAGCUGUGCAAAAUGGAGCUGGAGGAGCCUUAUUUGUGCACAGAGACACUCCUGAGAAUAACCCAGAUACUCCAUUUGAUUUCACACCAGAAAACUAUAAGAGGAUAGAGGCAAUUGUCAAAAACUACCCAGAAGGGCAUAAAGCAGCAGCCGUGCUCCCGGUCCUGGAUCUCGCCCAGAGGCAGAAUGGGUGGCUGCCUAUCUCUGCAAUGAACAAGGUUGCAGAAGUUCUAGAUGUACCUCCAAUGAGAGUAUAUGAAGUAGCAACUUUUUAUACAAUGUAUAAUCGAAAACCAGUUGGAAAAUAUCACAUUCAAGUCUGCACCACUACUCCUUGCAUGCUCCGAAACUCUGACAGUAUACUGGAGGCCAUCCAGAAAAAACUUGGAAUAAAGGUUGGAGAAACUACACCUGACAAACUGUUCACUCUUAUCGAGGUGGAAUGUCUAGGGGCCUGUGUAAAUGCACCUAUGGUUCAAAUUAAUGACAACUACUACGAGGACUUGACACCGAAGGAUAUUGAAGAAAUUAUUGAUGAACUGAAGGCCGGCAAAAUGCCAAAACCUGGGCCAAGCUACACUGAUGAAGCGUUAAGAUACUGAAUGCUCAGAUUUCCUGAAACUUCAAAUGAGCCAUUUCAGUCACAUCCUGUUCCACUAAAGGCAGAGGAAAUCUGAUGCGGAGAUCCUAGUAAGGAUGAGGAAAGAUCUUUCAAGGAGUGGACGCUUCUCUUGUGAGCCAGCUGGGGGUCUCACUUCUUUGACUGAACCACCCAAAGGACCUGGUUUUGGUGUGCAAGCAGGCCUUUAAUUUAUAUUCAACUGUAAAUAAUGUCACUGGACAAAUAAAUAUGAACCGAUGUACAUAAA